rnacentral:rRNA from 1 species
GUCUUCCUACGGGAGGCAGCAGUGAGGAAUAUUGGUCAAUGGGCUUACGCCUGAACCAGCCACGUCGCGUGAGGGAAGACUGCCCUAUGGGUUGUAACCCUCUUUUGUCAGGGAGCAACGCCGGCUACGUGUAGCCGGACUGAGAGUACCUGAAGAAAAAGCAUCGGCUCACUCCGUGCCAGCAGCCGCGGUAAUACGGAGGAUGCGAGCGUUAUCCGGAUUUAUUGGGUUUAAAGG